GGUUCUUCUAAGUUCAUGCCAUGCAAAAACUGAUACUACUUCUAUGACCCUAAGUUCUUGUCCAACAUGAUAUCCUAUUAUGAUGCAAAGUAUGGGGUUGUGAGGUUUUUACCUCAGUUUGGUGAAUCCUCGUUUUGCCCUCUUGCUGCCGUCCGUUUCUCCCUCCGCCCGUCGCACUCCACGCCUGAGAAACUUGGGGGCCGAAAGAGUGUGAGGAGAGGAUGGGGCGAUGACUGUAUUUAUAGGCCAAUUCCUUGGCUUCUUGUGGAAGAUUUUGGGGAGUGGAGCUUCUAUUUUGGGGCUGUAUCCUAACUCACUUUCGAGCUUGGUGUUUAUGCCUUUCUUACCAACUUGGUGUAAUCCCUGGGGAGGAAUCCAGACUUAAUCUGAUCCUUCUACUUUGGUAUGGAGGACAACUUCCUUGCUGUCCCUAGGAGGCUGUAGGUUGAUUUCUCUUGGCAUGGAGUGGGUAUGGAACCGAGAUGGGUGUGGAGAGAAUCCUCAAGGAUUUAUGGAGAUCAUGGCAUUUGUUUCUUUGCCUCUUUGUAGCUCUCUAUGUAAGAUAGCUUUUGUAAAGUAUAAAUUCUCAUCUCCAUUUUUUUAGUUGCUAGUAAAUCCUAGAUUCUUGAGCUUCUUAGAGCUUAGUACAACUAUUUAAAUUCAAUCAUUCCCAAAAUAAAA